ACCGGGGUUGCGGACAGUGUCUGGUGGGUAGUUUGACUGGGGCGGUCUCCUCCCAAAGCGUAACGGAGGAGCACGAAGGUUAGCUAAUCCUGGUCGGACAUCAGGAGGUUAGUGCAAUGGCAUAAGCUAGCUUGACUGCGAGCGUGACGGCGCGAGCAGGUGCGAAAGCAGGUCAUAGUGAUCCGGUGGUUCUGAAUGGAAGGGCCAUCGCUCAACGGAUAAAAGGUACUCCGGGGAUAACAGGCUGAUACCGCCCAAGAGUUCAUAUCGACGGCGGUGUUUGGCACCUCGAUGUCGGCUCAUCACAUCCUGGGGCUGAAGUAGGUCCCAAGGGUAUGGCUGUUCGCCAUUUAAAGUGGUACGCGAGCUGGGUUUAGAACGUCGUGAGACAGUUCGGUCCCUAUCUGCCGUGGGCGCUGGAGAAUUGAGGGGGGCUGCUCCUAGUACGAGAGGACCGGAGUGGACG
rnacentral:rRNA from 1 species